AAAUUGAAGAGUUUGAUCAUGGCUCAGAUUGAACGCUGGCGGCAGGCCUAACACAUGCAAGUCGAACGGUAACAGGAAGCAGCUUGCUGCUUUGCUGACGAGUGGCGGACGGGUGAGUAAUGUCUGGGAAACUGCCUGAUGGAGGGGGAUAACUACUGGAAACGGUGGCUAAUACCGCAUAACGUCGCAAGACCAAAGAGGGGGACCUUCGGGCCUCUUGCCAUCAGAUGUGCCCAGAUGGGAUUAGCUAGUUGGUGAGGUAACGGCUCACCAAGGCGACGAUCCCUAGCUGGUCUGAGAGGAUGACCAGCCACACUGGAACUGAGACACGGUCCAGACUCCUACGGGAGGCAGCAGUGGGGAAUAUUGCACAAUGGGCGCAAGCCUGAUGCAGCCAUGCCGCGUGUAUGAAGAAGGCCUUCGGGUUGUAAAGUACUUUCAGCGGGGAGGAAGGUGUUGCGGUUAAUAACCGCAGCAAUUGACGUUACCCGCAGAAGAAGCACCGGCUAACUCCGUGCCAGCAGCCGCGGUAAUACGGAGGGUGCAAGCGUUAAUCGGAAUUACUGGGCGUAAAGCGCACGCAGGCGGUCUGUCAAGUCGGAUGUGAAAUCCCCGGGCUCAACCUGGGAACUGCAUUCGAAACUGGCAGGCUUGAGUCUUGUAGAGGGGGGUAGAAUUCCAGGUGUAGCGGUGAAAUGCGUAGAGAUCUGGAGGAAUACCGGUGGCGAAGGCGGCCCCCUGGACAAAGACUGACGCUCAGGUGCGAAAGCGUGGGGAGCAAACAGGAUUAGAUACCCUGGUAGUCCACGCCGUAAACGAUGUCUACUUGGAGGUUGUGCCCUUGAGGCGUGGCUUCCGGAGCUAACGCGUUAAGUAGACCGCCUGGGGAGUACGGCCGCAAGGUUAAAACUCAAAUGAAUUGACGGGGGCCCGCACAAGCGGUGGAGCAUGUGGUUUAAUUCGAUGCAACGCGAAGAACCUUACCUGGUCUUGACAUCCACGGAAGUUUUCAGAGAUGAGAAUGUGCCUUCGGGAACCGUGAGACAGGUGCUGCAUGGCUGUCGUCAGCUCGUGUUGUGAAAUGUUGGGUUAAGUCCCGCAACGAGCGCAACCCUUAUCCUUUGUUGCCAGCGGUUAGGCCGGGAACUCAAAGGAGACUGCCAGUGAUAAACUGGAGGAAGGUGGGGAUGACGUCAAGUCAUCAUGGCCCUUACGACCAGGGCUACACACGUGCUACAAUGGCGCAUACAAAGAGAAGCGACCUCGCGAGAGCAAGCGGACCUCAUAAAGUGCGUCGUAGUCCGGAUUGGAGUCUGCAACUCGACUCCAUGAAGUCGGAAUCGCUAGUAAUCGUGGAUCAGAAUGCCACGGUGAAUACGUUCCCGGGCCUUGUACACACCGCCCGUCACACCAUGGGAGUGGGUUGCAAAAGAAGUAGGUAGCUUAACCUUCGGGAGGGCGCUUACCACUUUGUGAUUCAUGACUGGGGUGAAGUCGUAACAAGGUAACCGUAGGGGAACCUGCGGUUGGAUCACCUCCUUA
rnacentral:rRNA from 1 species